rnacentral:rRNA from 1 species
UGGGUAACCUGCCCAUCAGAAGGGGAUAACACUUGGAAACAGGUGCUAAUACCGUAUAACAAUCGAAACCGCAUGGUUUUGAUUUGAAAGGCGCUUUCGGGUGUCGCUGAUGGAUGGACCCGCGGUGCAUUACCUAGUUGGUGAGGUAACGGCUCACCAAGGCCACGAUGCAUAGCCGACCUGAGAGGGUGAUCGGCCACAUUGGGACUGAGACACGGCCCAAACUCCUACGGGAGGCACCACUAGGGAAUCUUCGGCAAUGGACGAAAGUCUGACCGAGCAACGCCGCGUGAGUGAAGAAGGUUUUCGGAUCGUAAAACUCUGUUGUUAGAGAAGAACAGGGAUGAGAGUAACUGUUCAUCCCUUGACGGUAUCUAACCACAAAGCCACGGCUAACUACGUGCCACCACCCGCGGUAAUACUUAGGUGGCAAGCGUUGUCCGGAUUUAUUGGGCGUAAAGCGAGCGCACGCGGUUUCUUGAGUCUGAUGUGAAAGCCCCCGG